CAAACCCUCAAGCUUCUGCUUGGUGUUGGGUCCUCGUCCCUAACAGGACGUGCCCGAAACUCGUAGGCGGUGGCGCCCAGCUCCUCAGCGUAGUUAUACAUUCCGCUCCGGAUCGUUGGGUGUUGCCCGCCGAACAACCACACUUUUUUCUAUG
rnacentral:misc_RNA from 1 species